UAGCCCACAGCCAACAUCCGCCCGGGAACUACAAGCGCCAGCUUAAAACCCAAAGGACUUGGCGGUGCUUCAGACCCACCUAGAGGAGCCUGUUCUAGAACCGAUAAUCCCCGUUAAACCUCACCACCCCUAGCCUUCCCCGCCUAUAUACCGCCGUCGUCAGCUUACCCCGUGAGGGAUAAACAGUGAGCACAACGGGUAAACCCCAAAACGUCAGGUCGAGGUGUAGCGAAUGAGGUGGAAAGAAAUGGGCUACAUUUUUUAUAAUAAAAUAUUACGAACAGCAAACUGAAAAAAAUGCUUGAAGGUGGAUUUAGUAGUAAAAAGAAAGCAGAGAAUCCUUUUGAACUAGGCUCUGAAGCGCGCACACACCGCCCGUCACCCUCCCCUCCAACAACCCUUUUAAGUAAACUAACACUAAAAAUCAAAACACGGGGAGGCAAGUCGUAACAUGGUAAGUGUACCGGAAGGUGCACUUGGAAAAAU
rnacentral:rRNA from 1 species